rnacentral:misc_RNA from 1 species
UUUACUUAAAAGUAUCGAAAUUAUAAGGAGAUUCAGGGCAGCGCAGUUUGAUCUAGUUAAGGCAGGACAGAAAGCUGAAGGCGAAGUCAUUUCUGUUAAUAUGGUCUUCUUGAAAGCUGGCACCCCUUCACCCUCUGGUUUUGUCAUGAACCUGCAGCCAUCUGAAGCCCAAGCAGGAUUUGACAUCAGAGUACCACCAACUGCAGAUCAGGCAUCCUUGGAGAGGCUAAUAGCUGAUGAAUGGGCACCUGCUUCGCGUAACAUGACUUUUGAGUUCAAACAAAAGGUGAGUGUGAACGACAAGUUAGGAAGGCCAGCUGUUACAGCUGUUGACAGUUCCAAUAUCUGGUGGGCACUGUUUGAAGAAGCUAUCAUCAAAGCUAAUGCCAGACUUGGAAAACCAGAAAUAUUUCCUGCAUCAACAGAUGCACGCUAUUUUCGAGAGCGAGGCCUGCCAGCAAUAGGAUUUUCUCCGAUGGCAAACACUCCCAUUCUUCUUCACGACCACAAUGAGUUCUUGAACAAGGAUGAGUAUCUGAAAGGUAUUGAUGUUUAUGAAUCAAUAAUCAAAACAUAUGCAUCUUAUAUUCAGUAUCAAAGAGAUGAUGCUUCGAGAGAGGAAUUGUGAGCAAGUUGUAUUGAAGCAACCUUGAGCUCGUCUUGUCUUGUAGUAUUGUAUAUAUAAGUGAAGGCCGCAGAGCAGUUGGAAAUCUCUGCAACAUCUUUCUGCUGUACGAAUAAACAACAUGGAUAUUUCAUAAUCAUUGAAG